ACCAAAUUAAAGCGCCAAAAAAAUGUCAACAAAGCGAUCGCCGAAACUAAACUUGGUUGUUGCUGUAUGUAACAACGGGGGAAUCGGGAAAGAUGGACAGUUGCCAUGGAGAUUAAAGAAGGAUAUGGAAUUUUUCAAGAAAAUCACCACACAGACAAAAGAUAAUGGUAAACAGAAUGCUGUAGUGAUGGGCAGGAAAACCUGGUUGUCAAUCCCUGAAAAAUUUCGACCACUGGCAAACAGGAUCAACAUCAUCCUAAGUACAACUAUUGAUCCAUUUGAUGGAGUGUAUGUGGCCAAAAGUUUGGAUGAGGCUAUAACCAUGGUAACUGGUAAUGGUGUCUUGGCAGAUAAAGUGGAGGGAGUGCACAUCAUCGGAGGAAGUUCAGUAUAUAAGGCGGCUCUGGAGUCUGACUUUGCCUGCAGGAUCUACCUCACCCGUGUCCUGGCAGAGUUUGACUGUGAUACAUUCCUUCCAGAGUUCAACCAGAACGUGUUCAAAAAGAUUGACAAAGAUGGUGAUCUGCAUUGUGACAUCCUAUUCGAUUUUCCUUAUCCACUUUCCAAAUUAACUGUCCAUUCAACAAAAGGAAAGAAAAAACCAUCAAAGUCAAAAGGACACAUGCAGAAUCCAGAAGUUGACUAAGAAUGGAAUAAAAAUUUAGAUUGUAUGAACACUUCAUUUCUCUACUUACCAUGAACCUACAUCGCUGUGAAGAUGUGCCCAAGGGAAAGAUGAAUGACAAAAACAUUGACUUUGUAUUUGAAGUGUAUGACAAAAUGUUCCUUUAAUAUAAAUUGUAUGUGAUCUAAGUGAUAGGAAAUGUAUGUAUUUUUUCUGAUUUGUUUAGUAGUUUAAAUUAAAAUUUUGUAAUUCGUA